GCCUGGCUGGCUCAGUCGGUGGAGUGUACGACUCUCAAUCUUGGGGUCAUGAGUUCAAGCCCCAUGUUGGGCA
rfam:Felis catus isolate Cinnamon breed Abyssinian chromosome A1, whole genome shotgun sequence.